rnacentral:lncRNA from 1 species
GGCCUUGUGUGUCAGCACAGCCCGGGCAGCUGGAAGGCGGGGACUCCUGGCGUUCCGUGACAUCCCCACCUUCCAGUUCUCUGCUGUAACUGUCGCCCAUUGCCGGGCACACUGGGCCGUAACUGCCUCGCUCUGUCUGAGUCGCAGGCAGUACCUUCUGCUCUGAACUCAGGUUCUGGAUUCUUGUUUUCACUGAGAAAUUCUCAAGUGUGCUGGGGUGUUGAUCGACUUGUUCUCAACAUGCUCAGUUCUACCUCUUUGGCCACAGCAGAGGUACUGUCAUCAACAUGACCCUCGCGUCAUCAAGAGGCUGAAAUGACCUGCUCUGACAUCAACCAGGAAUUGAAUUUCCAGCUGGAGGAGAGCCAGCAGCAACUGCGAGACAUGGAAGCAAACUUCCACAUAGCUAAAGCUACUCUCUAUGUCCUGGCAGCCGAGCUGCGGAAAUUCAAAAGUACAAAGUACAAGGAUGUCAUCGAUUCCGUGCUUGGCGAGAGGCUGCAGCCCAAAGAGCAGGAGCUGGCCGAGAAGCUUUCGCUGGCCGAGCAGCUCAGGGAGUCCUGUAUUCUGAUAGGAGAACAGCGCAGGAAGCUGUCCCAGCUGAGGCAGCAGUUAGAAGAGGGUAGCAAUGAGUCGUUGCUCCUCAAGGAGCACCUGAAGGCCAUCCCCACCCGGCACGACGCCGACCCCACCCUGGGCCGGGGUCUCCGAGGGCAGCUGGCUGAGGGCUGCAGGCUGGCAGAGGUCCUUGCCGGAAAGUCAGAAAGUCUGGAGGAGGAGAGUGGAAAGGACUGUCAAUCACUGCUUCCCAGGGUGAGCACAGGAGGAGUGGACAAGCAGGGGGAACACGUCCCUCGGGACUGGCAAGAUGACGACCAGGAGCAGCCGUCUGGUCCCGGUGAACCGAGUGACCGCCCGCAGCCUCCCUGCAGCGCGGCUCUCCCGGUGGAUGAGAUCUCCCCUUCUCCAGAUGCAGCUCAACCUCAAGACACCCUGAGCCAACAGGAAGAGGAGGAAGAGGCAGGGGUAACCUGGUACCUGGAGGAUGGCGAUGAUAUCAAUGAUUCACUGUCGUACACUUUAGAUAGAAGUUAUUUGAUGGUUUCCACCUGCCGGGACUCACCAGCGCCCCCCAAGCCUUCCAAGACUCCAGUCUUCCUGGCAAAUCAGACUCCCUGUGAGGAUGAGGAUGCACCGGAGCCAGAGGCCCCCAGGAAACUGAUGAUCGGGGAUCAGCGACGGCCCCCCUUCCUCUGGACAUGGUGUGUCACGAUCCAGGACAACGCCCGGAAGCUGACCCAACACCGUGAGCAGCUACGGAAAGGGAAAGAGGCUGCCUUCUCCCUUGGACAGUGUCUCCGGCGCCUCUUUACCCAGGAAGAACCUGCUCGUGCGGUUCAGAGACACAGAGAGGAACUGGUGGAGGCCUGCAAGCUGGCCGACCACCUUGUCCUGCAGCUGCACAUAGCAAACUGUGGAAGCAGGACAGGCAAGGAAGAGAAAGAGCCACUUUACCAAGUGGACGAUCAGAGCAGCGAUUUCAGCUUCCUGAUUCAGGCUCAGGCCCGAGAGCUGACCCAGUUAAGGAAGAAGUUGGAGGCAGGAAGAAAUGUCGCAUUCAUCCUCCAAAAACAUCUCAAAGACCUCAUCACGGAUAAUGACUUUGGUGAAUCCCAAGGGCAGAGCCUCCUACAGCUGGCAGAGUGGCGCAGGCUGGCUGAGCGCCUGACCCUCCAGCUCGGCUCAGAGCACCACUGCGACACGGAGGACGAGGAAGAAACAGAGUCCCUGGACUCCAGUGAUGAGCAGCAGGAUGAGAAAGUGGAUGAACUCCUGUCAGGUUCAGUGGCGGAGCGCUCCCUCCUCGGUCCUGGGCGUCCUGACCCACCUUACCAACAGCAGCAUUGCAUCAGUGUUGCCGUCCCUGCAGAGGAGCAUGAAGCGAGUCCUGCACAGGAUGGAACCAGUGAGUCCCCCAGCAUCCCGCUGGAAGUGCGUCUCCUGAGUCCAGGAUCCCCCAGUUCUGUGCUCGGCUCCGGUGUCGGCUGAGAGAGGCAUCUGCGGCCGCCCGGGAGGCCCCUUAGGGUGCAGCACUCCAUGCAAGACUCCAUGGGGACUUGUUUGAUUGGGGCCUUUCCCGGUCAGGAUGUAGAGGAAGCAGGAACCUGACCGCUGCACACAGCUGACACAAUACAGAAUGUUGAGGUUGGUGCCAGAGAGAUCUCACAGGGCAGCACCAGAAUCGACUCUUUCAGGGAGCUUAGGGACAGGGGACAGAUUAGUUUCUUGCCAUCCUGAGGCUACAUGAGGAAGACAGAGACACAGGAACCCAGGAUGUCUGGGGUUGGCUGCGAUCCAGUGCUUUCUGACCCCAGAGCCGAGGGUGGCAGAGCGGGAGACUGAGUGAGCUGGCCGCACAGGACCUUUGAGAAGGAGCUGCAGGAUGAGGCAGAGUCCUUGGAGAGAACCUGGCAUCCAGCCCUGUCCAGCUCCCUCCAGUUCUCACGUCCUGUUUUCCCUGCUUGGCCGUUCAUUAAAAAGUAGAUUGGUGGGUUGAAGAUGUUUUCCCUCCACUCCAUAGCAGGUAUUCAGAGUCCUGCCAAGUGUCCAGAGAGGCUUGCGAUGAAAGGAUAAACAAUAUCUUGAGCAAGCAUGGUGACACCGCUGACGAGCCUGUCCCCUGGCCUGUGAGGAGGACGCUGGGAGACACCUGGGGCCCGGCUGAGCUGAGGGAGGGGCAGCCAUGUCCCGGGGAGGCUCUGUGUGCAGACACCGGGGCAGUGUUGCUGGAGAAGCACCGGGGCUGGAAAUCAGGCGUCAGAGGCGAGGUGAGGCCUCCAGUCCUUGAGUGGGCAGCACAGAGAAGUGUAUGAGAGGCAGGCCCAGCAUAAGCCAGGACUGCGGAGGCAAAGAGCAGUGGCCUGGGGCACACGGCAGUGGUCAGAGCUCCUCAGGAGGCUGAGACAAGAUGGUCACGUGAGCCUGGAGUUCCAGACCAGACUGGGCGCCACUGUGAGGCUACCUCUCCACAUUAAAAACAAAACAGAAGCGGAAGCUCUGCUGAGAUACUCAGUGGGGUGGAAGUGCAGAAGCAGAGGGGGAAGAGGGGAGCAGGUGUGCAUCGGGGCACAGAGAGGAGGGCCCUGUCUGGUGGACAUGCAGGAGGAUGAGGCAGGACAGACACCUGAAACACAAGGUGAGGAAAGGGCAGCGGACCUCGGUGGGAGCAGCUGUGCAGAGGGAGGAGAGAGGCCCACAGCAGGCCCUGUGGCCCGCAUCCCCUCUGAAAUGCAGCGUUGGCCUAAGGCGCCUGGCAGCCUUGUACCGCACAAACCCCUCAGCCCCCUGGGUUCUGUCACAGGAGAUAUCAGCAUGGUCCUCUGCUCCUAGCCACCACCUCUGUCUCUUCUCAUUGUCCUGUCCUGUCAAGGUCCCAGGUCCCUGCCGGCACCGGCGUGUAAACACGCCUGCCUGUGUCUCACUGUGUCCCUGACGCCGGGUCCCAGCCCCGGCGCUCUCCCCGUCCCGGAAUGCGAGCUUCCUCCUCUCUCCGUAGCCCAAGGUCUUUCCUCCGCCUGCGUGGCCUCGGUUCAAUCUCCACACCACCAGCAGCGCAGUGUCUCGUGGAGUACGGGGUCAGCCCUGCAGGAAUUUUCCUAGAGAGCCACUAUUUUAGAUUUCACGAGCAGCGUGAUAAAGGAUUGUUGUCACUGUGGCCUAGACUGGGUGCGAGUGGCGUUGUGUGAUCUUGUUUCCCGAGGUCAGGGACAUUCUGCCCACUGCCACAGGGGACCUUGCAGUUCUUUUGGAAGACGCAACCUGAUAUUCUGCUCAUGGUGUCCUGUUCUCAGCCCAAGAACACUGAUGCCUGUGUGUCCCACAGCACAGGGUUUGUAACGGGUCACGAGGUGAGUGUGUGUGGUGACCAUCGUGUGUGCGUUGUUUGCAGAACCUGAAGGCAUCCUGAGAAA